AAAAGCAGCCUUAAUACUGAAGAAAUGAUAAUAACGGUGGAAGGCUGGAAGCUGGCGCGAAAGUCACCCUAUUCGGUCUCAAUUCUUAUAUUACUACCACGUCCAAUCUAAGCCUUCUUUAAGGUUGAGAUCGCAGAUACUAAGAUUGAGCUUCUUCUGUAACCAAUUACACACUCUGAGAUGCAGAAAACGGCGCAAUCAUGGUUUACCGGAGGCCCAAGCGCCACCACUACAUUCAACGAUCAGCAGCUACCCAAAUCCUCCUCUUUACUCGCUGAUUGGAACGCUUACGCUGCUUCUCAGGACGCCGAUUCUUCUGAUCUUGGCUUCGAUCUCGAAGCUGCCGUUCGUACCACCAGUGACAAAGUCACUGGUACUUUCAGCGUGUAAACACUUCAAUCCCCCAUUUUUCUUUUCUCUUCACGUUUACUGGAAUUGGGGCUUUCGAGAUUAGUUAGGUCUGUAACUUGCUUGAGCAUCUCUUUUCCUUUUCUACUAUAGCUGAAUUAGAUCAUAUAACAGAGCUCCAUAGAUAAUGGAGCACAAUUAAAGAUUUAGCACAAGUUUUUCUAUUAUUUAUAAAUUAAUUGCGUUUGAUAGGCUUUAAAUAAGCAAAUUAAAAAAUAUAUAUAUUUUUAUUUUAUUUCAGUUUUUUGAAAAAUUGCUAGUUGUUUAUAGCAAUUUUGGUGGAUUGUGGGUUUGUGGCCUAGAGGUCAUGGGAAGGAAAGGCUACAUAGACACCCUUUUGGGUGGUUUAUCAGAAGCCGCCAACAAUAACAUUUUCGUUUUUUUUUUUUAAAUUCUCAAUAAUAUUGACAUUAGUUUGCUAUGUUAGGUUCCAUCACAUUGGGCAUUUAACAAUUAAUCAAUUUGUCUUUUGUAUCAUUGUAAUUACAGUGUAUUGUUAGAAUUGAUCUGUCAGGAUAUGGAGCUUGAGUUUAUAGUAAUUUACUGUUUGCCUCAAUUUUCAUGCACUAGAAAGUACAAUAGGGAUGGUGAUUCAUAUCCUAGUGAUUUGUUCUUUUCCCUUCUUAUGAGACUAAAAAUUGAAAAUUUGGAAGAGAAAUGGCCUUUUUACAAUCGGUGAAAUUUGUGACAUUCUGAUUAUGAUUUUAUGAAUAGGAUUGGUCUACCAUUUUCCUGCCACUCUUGCUUGCCUGUGUUGUACAUUUGACCCAACUUUUGUUCAGGGUAUCAAAAGGAGUGAGGGAUUUGCCUGGCAACUUUCAGUCCGCCACUAGCAAUGUUCCUUCUGGAAAAUCUCUCAUGUACUUUGGAGUGCUCCUUGCUGCUGGAGUGUUCUUUAUAUUUGUUGCAUUCACCAUGUUUCUUCCUGUCAUGGUGUUGGUGCCUCAGAAAUUUGCUAUCUGCUUCACCAUUGGUUGUGCCUUCAUCAUUGGUUCAUUCUUUGCACUCAAAGGUCCCAAGAAUCAACUUGCGCAUAUGUCUUCUAAAGAGAGGCUCCCUUUUACAUUGGGAUUCAUCGGUACCAUGGUUGGAACUGUAUAUGUCUCUAUGGUCCUGCAUAGUUAUGUUCUUUCUGUGCUCUUCUCUAUUUUACAGGUCCUUGCUCUAUCAUACUAUGCCAUUUCAUACUUCCCUGGAGGAUCGACGGGGCUGAAAUUUCUUUGUUCAACUUUUACCUCCUCAAUACUGAAAUGUUUUGGAAGGUGAUGCAGAUUUCUAUUUUUUUUUUUUUCCUCAAAUUGAAUUCUUUGGUCAUCCAUAAGUUUGUUAUAUUGUUUUGUAAGAUAGGAAAUGCUGGCAAACCAUUUCCAUGAUAUUUGCAGUUAAAAUAUCUUUGUAGAAUUCAACUUGUUUCAUUGUAAUGCUCUAAAGAAGUUUUUCCAUCAAAAUUGAUAAUAUUUUUUUAUAUUCCCUUCUUUUCGUUGGAUGAGAAAUAAAUAUUAAAAUGUUC
rnacentral:misc_RNA from 1 species